rnacentral:lncRNA from 1 species
GUGGAAUUUACCCGUUAAUGUAACGGUGCUUUUCCUAGUGUCUAAACCUAGACAACUAGCCAAGCAUGCUCUUAAACCUAGCCGACUGGCUUUAUCUUUCUCCUAUAUAUUAUAUUGUCAUGAAGCCCUAAUCCUUAAGAGCGCAGUUCAAUAAUGACUGAUAAAAUGGAGCUGCCCACGUCUUGAGCAGUCUCACUCUAGAUCCAUCCCUUACCCCAACAGAAGUUAUCCGCUUCAAACCACAACCAAUUCUCCUUCCAAUGCAAAAGGAAACCCACUAUAGUUCAGGUAAAUUUUGUUUCUUUUUUCUUUUACAUGGCAAUUAGAUUAUACCAUUACCUAAACAGCAGGAUUAAGAUAAAGGGUUACUGAUUUCUGGGUAGUUUUUAUCAAAUUCCUAUUAUUUAUACUUUUAUGUUGGUUUCGAAGUGCUUCAUUCCUUCGUCCUUUUUCCUCUGUUUAAGUUCUUUGCUUUAUUUAUUAGUAUUUAGUAAAUCAUUACGUAUUUAUUAAGUGUUUGAUGUAGAUUUUUAGAAUUAUUUUUGUGAAAAUUUAUAUUUUUGGUGAAUGUGCGGUUAAUUUAGCAAGGAAAAAGUUUUGUGCUAUUUUAUUGGGAGAACGUGGGAAUUGUAAAUGAGGUUGAAGGAAAAAUGAGUUUUAAAAUAUCUGUACUAAACAGGAGCUUAAUAACUUUGGUUAUUGAGUUCUUUAUUACUGUUAUAAAAGUGCUGGCUUGAGUGUCCGCAGUACACCUUGCAGGCACACGAUUGUAUUCUUGGAAUUGUUUUUCUAGACUGUUGGCACUAAGCAGAUUUUGACCGCAACUGUUGGUAUGUGAACAUCUUCCAUAUGUGAGGUAAUAAAGAUGGUAUGUAUAAGGGGGUGUUUGAGCCACAUUAUUUUGAUAAUAAUGCAUUCUUCAAUAGUGUAUUGAUCAGAAAUGUGUGAUUAAAAAAUAAGGAAAAAUUUUUGAUUUGCGUGUAAUAUUAUUUUGUUGAAGAAUGUGUGGUUGAAAUGAUGUCAAAUCAAUGUUUAAGAAUGCAUUUUUUGGAAAUAAUGUGGCUCAAACAUGCUCUAAAUGUUGAACUUGAACAUCUCUUGUAAAAAUAGGCGAACAUGGGCACGGUCACCAGUGUGGUACCUAACCUUUCCACAAGUGUUGAAAUGGAUAGACAUAAAGUAAAUUGCGUGAAGAGAGAGGGUUGUUCCUCUCGUGAAGCAUCAUCUCCUUUAGUGCGGCACAUGUUAAUAUGCCCCCAUUUGGUUCAACUUAAAAGGCCGAUUUAAAUUUGAGUCAGAGUCAGCAAUCAAUUUUAAUUGUAUAAUUUAUUGGAUUCACAACUUUUCAAUCACUACAUUCCAUCAACUUUUAUCAAAAUUUACAAAGAAUCUGAAUUUUAUUUAAACCAAGCAAGGCUAAAUUUGACGGAGGAGCUUCAGCCUAUGCCACUCUCUUCAUUGAUGACAUUUCCUUGGGACAUGCUCCCCCUCUUCAUCACUUGGCUCGGUGGUUAAACUGGUUUACAAAUAAUGUGGCUUAGUUCUCGACUUGGUUAUGGGAAUUACCAGCUGUCCACUUUAGCUUUGUCCGGGGAGAAAGAUCAACUGCUUGAGUCUCAGGUUCUGAGAGUAUGGUGUCUGGGAAGGUUCUCCUAUCUGGUUUGGGAUGUCCAGUCUCGUUUUAUGUUGUGUCUGGUUAGGUGAGACACGGGUCGACAGAUGGUCCAUUGGCUGUUUGUUGUGCUGCCCUGGAGUAGCUCUUCAGUCUUUUUUUGGUGGCUAAGUCAGUGCAUAGGUUGCCAAGGUGGAGCUUGGUUGGUCAACUUCCAUGUCUAAUCUGUCUUGUUUCUCAUCUUACUUGUCCUCUGCAAAGUGUGCACAAUUGACAUUAGAGGUUUCUAAUUGGUAUGUUCACUUCUGCAUUUAUAGAAGUACUUGAGUGUUAGGAUGCAAUGUUAUUUUGUUUGGCAUCUAUUAGUUAACAUGAGAAUUUAGUACAUUAUAUCAGUGAGGUAGUGCAGUUAACAAUUGGUUGCGAUGAUGAGAUACAGAAUUUGUUGAAAGCACAUUGUGCUUGAUGUAAUAUCGACUUUUGAUGUCGAUCCUGAGCGGUUACCUGAGCAACCUGUAGUUUCUAAUAUCAUUGGUGUUCCAAUAUUCUGUCAUAGAACCAGGUAAAAAAUUUGGUCAUUUUACUACGAUCUAAUAUCUAAUAAUCUAUAUAAACACUCAUAAUGUCUUCUUAUGUCUGGGUAAUUUGAUAAUUUCCAGCAUCAUAAUAUCCUUGACUAUUUUCAAGAGUUCAACAACAUGCGUCUUUAUGUCAAUUUCAAGUUCUCUGUCUCUGCUUGCUAAUUUUCCAACUUAUUUCUAUUUCUUUGAACAUUCCUGUCUUUCACUUCUUUCUCAUAUAUACGUUCUAGUUUAUAUUCUAAAUAAGUGAGUUGAACUUGGCUGCCAUGAUGAGUAUUUCAGUACAUUGAACGCAUUAAUAAUGCUUGAUGAAACAUCGACUAUCAUGUCGAUCCUGAGCGGUUACCUGAGCAGCCUUAUGGUAUGAUAUGACCUUGGUUCAUCCUGUUCCUGUACUCUAUUCAUUGCGUCCUCGCAAUAUUUUUAUUGCUACGGCAUAUUUAUCAAUGCCAAAGAUUUUCACCUGGCUACGUUUCCUCACUUCGUUGAAAUUGCUCUAUAAGUUUAUGGGAACGGACAUGUUUGCACGAGCUUUAUUCCCUUUUCAAGUUAUCUUCAUACUUUCGAAUGUGUGGCUCAAUUCUAUUUGCAUUCGUUUAUGUUAUUUGGUACUUCUCUUAUAGGCGUUAUUAGUUACUUAUAAAUGUUAUUAAUUUUUUCUACGGGAUGGAUUGAUAAUUUGAUUGGUGGAAACAAAUUGUGGAUAUUUGAG